ensembl:lincRNA Gm43536 predicted gene 43536
UCAGAGCCCUAAUGGGAGAAGAAGGGCAAGUGUGGGCAAGGCCCCUGGCUCUCCUGCCUGCAGCCAUUUCUCAAGCAACCUGGUUCUCAGGGAGACUUCAAGAACCAGUGUCUGGUCUUUGCUUGAAAAGGAAACCAGUCAUUCAAGGGUAAAUCAUAAGUACUAAAUGAAAAGCUCUGUGACUGUACACUAAAGACUUCAUCACAAGGUGACUUGUCAGACCUGAAGAGCAACUGAAAGUCACAGUGGAAUUCAGACUCAUCAUUGAUGACCAGGACAAGAAACCAAGAUCAAGGUGCAGCUGAGUAUAGGAGAAUCAUCAGGAACCAAACACCAGCAUGAGAACUCAUUUGAGUUUUGAAACAGAUUCUCACUGCUCUGGCCCUGAAUUCCUGGUUGCAGAGGUCUUCCUGCUUUGGCCUUCCAAGUAGCUAGGGUUAUAUAUAUAAGCUUGAAGCAGAAACAACAUUGAGCAAAUAUCCAGCAAGCUUACUGGCUUGUUCAGCUACCUUUCUUACCCAGCUUGGGUCUACAGGCCUAAGGAUGGUACUGCAAGGGGUAGGCUGGUCCUUCCUACAUCAAUUACCAACUGAGAAAAUGCCUCAGAGAUGUGG